CCGGCGACUGCGGGCGCUGCGGUCCACUGGGUCCGCCUCUUCCCGGCAUGGGUUUCUGCCCAGCUCACCCGCUGUCAGCUGGGGUCCUGCUCUGGUGGGAGGAAGAGGCUCAGACGCUUCCCUGCCCUCUCGCCUCAACCACCUCGAGGCAGCGGCUCCCAGGAUGUGCACUUUGACGACUAAAGCUGAGCCGGCGCCGCCACGACCUUGGGCGGGUGGUCGGCCUCUGCCCUGAGCAGGAAGUAGAAAGUCUCAGCAGACCCUUCCUGAGGGCCGAGCAACAGUGUAGUGGCGUAUUCCACAUAGCAAACAGGGACCCUGGGAGCAUCUGUGUUCUCGUGUUCUUCUUGCCUGUGAGGCCUCUUCUCUCUGAGGACAGAUGGUAGGACAGAGAGAAGACAGCAAAUGGAAAACAAAGGCUGCUAUUUUUUUGUGGGGCAGCAUUUCUUCCUGUGACAAUAUGGUGUAAGACAAAAUUGUGGCCUGCCAUGAAGUUGUGAGAGAAAAGCAUCCCUCAUUUCUUCAGGAAAGGCCACUGCCGUUCCCUCCGGCUCCUCUUCUCAGGAGUUUGUGCAUUCAUGAGGUGAAUUCCUUGGAAGAUGAGGGCCAAGUCUUAUUCUUCUCAGUCUCUUCUGCAUCUAGCAGAAGAAUAAUGGUUGCACAGAAAAUCUUGGUUCAGUGGUUGAGUGAAUGAAUGGAUGAACAGGCUCUUGCACACAAAGAAGAGACAUGAUGUAUUUGCAUCCUUCCCUGCUUCAGCCAGUUUUCUGAAGCUCAGAGGGACACCUUGUAUUGCUGGAUGAUAAAAACAGGAGCAAAGUGAUGAAGUGCUGACAAGGCAACAAUAGAACAUGAGAGAUUCACUGCUGUGUAGGAAGAGAUCUUCGGUGACCAUGUAGCCUGAAGCUCUCAUUUUGUCAUCGAGGGACACCAAAACUCAGAACAGCAGCAGCUCACGCUGCUGAUGCAACACAGGUGAAGAGCACCUUCCCCUCCCCCACCUGUGGGCUGAUUCCCACCACGUGGAUCCCAAGGCCAUCCCAGGAACUCUUUGGAGGGGAGAAGCCCAGUGGAAACUGUCAGGCCUCUGAGCACAAGCCAAGCCAUCGCAUCCCCUGUGACUUGCACGUAUAUGCCCAGAUGGCCUGAAGUAACUGAAGAAUCACAAAAGAAGUGAAAAGGCCCUGCCCCACCUUAACUGAUGACAUUCCACCAUUGUGAUUUGUUCCUGCCCCACCUUCACUGAGUGAUUAACCCUGUGAAUUUCCUUCUCCUGGCUCAGAAGCUCCCCCACUGAGCACCUUGUGACCCCCGCCCCUGCCCACCAGAGAACAACCCCCUUUGACUGUAAUUUUCCAUUACCUUCCCAAAUCCUAUAAAACGGCCCCACCCCUAUCUCCCUUCGCUGACUCUCUUUUCGGACUCAGCCCGCCUGCACCCAGGUGAAAUAAACAGCCAUGUUGCUCACA
rnacentral:lncRNA from 10 species